UACGUAGGGGGCAAGCGUUGUCCGGAAUCAUUGGGCGUAAAGCGCGUGUAGGCGGCCCGGUAAGUCCGCUGUGAAAGUCGGGGGCUCAACCCUCGAAAGCCGGUGGAUACUGUCGGGCUCGAGUACGGGAGAGGCGAGUGGAAUUCCUGGAGUAGCGGUGAAAUGCGCAGAUAUCAGGAGGAACACCGAUUGCGAAGGCAGCUCGCUGGAACGUUACUGACGCUGAGACGCGAAAGCGUGGGGAGCAAACAGG
rnacentral:rRNA from 1 species